rnacentral:snoRNA from 1 species
ACGACUGUACUUUACAGGAUCAUUUGUAUAGUAUAUGUCCCGUCUUCGUUCUUCAAACAAGGCGCAUACCAAACCAGGAUGACGAAGCACGGUGUUCUUUCCUGAGCGUGAAGCAGAUCUUGAACUAGUUCUUGGUCAUUGAUGAAUGCGCCGUAAGGCAUGGAUUGAACACGUUCCUACUGGU